UUUCUUUUUCUUUUACAGCAAUUCACGUAGGAUAUAUAAAACAAAUGUUCGUCUAUACUAGACUUAUAUACAUGAGUUGAACUGAAAUAGUUAAAACAACAACAAUGCAAACAGCAGAUAAGCUAGACACUCGGCGGGACGCUCGUAGUUUUCUUGCGUUUGCGUGUGGACGCUCUAUAUGGGUUAGACAUGUUAUGAAGUCAACACCAAUGUCUCAUCUGACUCUCUUCAAGAUUGGCUCUGAACGUAAAACUUGCAUCUUUGUAUCCGACUGGAAACAACAACACAACAUGUGG